CAGCUCUAGGAUUUUGAGGUCUGGAGCUAUGACAAAGAAGAUGACUUGCUUAUGAAAAAGGAGGCUAUCUCAUCUGUUGGUUCAGAAAUUGCAAGCUUUGAGACAAAAAAAC
rnacentral:lncRNA from 12 species